AGCGGCAGCAUCCCUUCCUCUCUGGCCCUGGGAGGGGGAAGGGAAAAGACCGAGCAGUGGAGGGAAGAGGGAGCCAUUUCUCUCCACUGACUGCAACCUCUGUGCUCACAGCUCACGUUUGCCCGGAAUCCAGAGGCCUCCUCGGCCAAGGACUCCAUAAUGCUGGAUAUUUUCAUCCUGAUGUUCUUUGCCAUUAUAGGCCUGGUCAUUCUGUCCUACAUUAUCUAUCUGCUCUAGUGGCCUGCAGCUGCGGCGGGGAGCCCUCAGAACAGCUCAGGGGGGAAGGAUGGAGCUGGCUGGCCGAGCAUCCUGCUUUGCUGACGCACCGGUGGAAUUUUGCUUCUGGUCGUUAUUUCGGCUCCUGGUCUCCAGUCCAAUAAGAGACCUCUUGGCAGCCAGCAGACUUCUUCCAGAGCCUUCCGGAUAUGGCUAACCACUGUGGAGCAAGGGGCGUUUUGAGCCCAGAGGCAGAGGCACUCAGCGGGGACAUCAGGAAUUCGUGGGCAUGGCUGGCAGAUGCUGCGUGCGUUUGAGCUGUAGAUGGAAGGUGUGGAGGACACAGACCUGAAAUGUAGACUCAUUAAAGUUACCAUGGAGAACUGCUCAC